rnacentral:rRNA from 1 species
AACGAACGUUAGCGGCGCGCCUAACACAUGCAAGUCGCACGAGGAAGGGCUUCGGCCCCGGUACAGUGGCGCACGGGUGAGUAACACGUAGAUCAUCUCCCCUCGAGUGGUGGAUAACUUUCCGAAAGGAAAGCUAAUACAGCAUAAGACCACGGCUUCGUUGAAGCUGCGGCCAAAGCAGGCCUCUACACGUAAGCUUGCGCUUGAGGAUGAGUCUGCGGCCCANCAGCUAGUUGGUAGGGUAAUGGCCUACCAAGGCUAAGACGGGUAGCUGGUCUGAGAGGAUGAACAGCCACACUGGAACUGAGACACGGUCCAGACUCCUACGGGAGGCAGCAGUGGGGAAUCUUGCGCAAUGGGCGAAAGCCUGACGCAGCGACGCCGCGUGAGCGAUGAAGGCCUU